AUGUCGGCGCUGUUCAACUUCAACUCCUUCCUCAUAGUGGUGCUGCUGGUGAUCUGCACCUGCACCUACAUCAAGAUGCAGUUCCCUGCCAUCCUCAACGAUCGCACCGGGUUCCGUGGUUUCUUUUGGAAAGCAGCCAGAAUAGGUGAGCGGUUGAGCCCUUGGGUGGCAUUUGGGUGCUUCGCGAUGGGGGUAUCCACCAUCUUCUUCUGA
rnacentral:rRNA from 1 species